AUGACAUUCCUCAUCGGCGUCCCCGUGCCAGCCAUGCCAGUGGCCAUGGAUCGCAUGCUCCUCCUCGCCGCCUUCCUCCUCCUCUCGUCGACUUGCACGACGACGACCGUGUCCGCGGGAACCGGCGACGACGCGGGGGCGCUCCUCCGCUUCAAGGCGUCCGUCCACAAGGACCCUAGGGGCGUGCUCUCGUCUUGGCAAUGGCAGCAGCAGCAGCAGCCAGGGACGCCGGGCGGUGGUGGUAGUGGUAAUGGCACGUGGUGCAGGUGGUACGGAGUGACGUGCGACGACGAGGGGCGGGUGGAGCGGCUCGACCUCGCCGGCUGCGGCCUCUCCGGGCGCGCCUCGUUUGCAGCGCUGGCCUCCAUUGACACGCUGCGCCACCUCAACCUCUCCGGCAACGCCCAGCUCCGCGCCGACGCCGCUGGGGACAUUCCCAUGCUCCCCCGUGCGCUGCAGACGCUCGACCUGUCCGACGGCGGCCUCGCCGGCGGCCUCCCCGACGACAUGCAGCUGGCGCACUACUACCCCAACCUCACCGACGUCCGCCUCGCGCGGAACAACCUCACCGGCGCUCUCCCUCUUAAGCUACUGGCGCCUAGCACGAUCCAGGUGUUCGACGUCGCCGGGAACAACAUGUCCGGGGACGUCUCCAGCGCGUCGUUUCCCGACACGCUGGUCCUGCUCGACCUCUCCGCCAACCGUUUCACCGGCACGAUCCCGCCGUCCUUCUCCGGCUGCCCCGGCCUCAAGACGCUCAACGUGUCGUACAACGCCCUCGCCGGCGCGAUUCCAGAGUCGAUCGGCGACAUCGCUGGCCUCGAGGUGCUCGACGUCUCGGAGAACCGCCUCACCGGCGCCAUCCCACGCAGCCUCGCCGCGUGCUCGUCGCUGCGGAUCCUCAGAGUCUCGAGCAACAACAUCUCCGGCUCUAUCCCGGAGUCCCUGUCGUCGUGCCGCGCGCUCCAGCUGCUCGACGCGGCCAACAACAACAUCUCCGGCGUGAUCCCGGCCGCGGUGCUCGGGAACCUCACGAAGAUGGAGAUCCUGCUUCUCAGCAACAACUUCAUCUCGGGAUCGCUCCCGAGCACCAUCUCUGCCUGCAACAACCUCAGGGUCGCCGACUUCAGCAGCAACAAGAUCGGCGGUGCGCUGCCCGCCGAGCUCUGCACGCGCGGCGCGGCGCUGGAGGAGCUCCGGAUGCCGGACAACCUCCUCACCGGCGCGAUCCCUCCCGGUCUGGCCAACUGCUCGCGCCUGCGGGUGAUCGACUUCAGCAUCAAUUACCUGCGCGGCCCGAUCCCGGCGGAGCUCGGCAUGCUCCGUGCCCUGGAGCAGCUCGUGACGUGGCUCAACCAGCUAGAAGGCCAGAUCCCCGCGGAGCUCGGGAAAUGCCGGAGCCUCCGCACGCUCAUCCUCAACAACAACUUCAUCGGCGGCGACAUCCCCGUCGAGCUCUUCAACUGCACCGGCCUCGAGUGGAUUUCGCUGACGAGCAACCGGAUCAGCGGCACGAUCAGGCCGGAGUUCGGCCGGCUGUCCCGGCUCGCCGUGCUGCAGCUGGCGAACAAUAGCCUCGUGGGCGACAUCCCCAAGGAGCUCGGCAACUGCAGCAGCCUGAUGUGGCUGGACCUCAACAGCAACAGACUCACCGGCGUGAUCCCGCACCGCCUCGGCCGGCAGCUCGGGGCGACGCCGCUGAGCGGCAUCCUGUCAGGCAACACGCUGGCGUUCGUCCGCAACGCUGGGAACGCGUGCAAGGGCGUGGGUGGGCUGCUGGAGUUCGCCGGCAUCCGGCCGGAGCGGCUGCUGCAGGUGCCCACCCUCAGGAGCUGCGACUUCACGCGGCUCUACUCCGGCGCGGCGGUGAGCGGGUGGACGCGGUACCAGACGCUGGAGUACCUGGAUCUCUCGUACAACAGCCUCGUCGGCGCCAUCCCGGAGGAGCUGGGCGACAUGGUGCUGCUCCAGGUGCUCGACCUGGCGAGGAACAACCUCAGCGGCGAGAUCCCGGCGUCGCUCGGCCGCCUCCACGACCUCGGCGUGUUCGACGUGUCGCACAACCGGCUGCAGGGCAGCAUCCCGGACUCCUUCUCCAACCUCUCCUUCCUCGUGCAGAUCGACGUCUCCGACAACGACCUCGCCGGCGAGAUACCGCAGCGCGGGCAGCUCAGCACGCUGCCGGCGAGCCAGUACGCCGACAACCCUGGCCUAUGCGGCAUGCCGCUGGUGCCGUGCAGCGACCGGCUGCCGAGGGCGAGCAUCGCAGCCUCCUCCGGCGCCGCAGCUGAAAGUAGUAACGCCAGGUGGCCUCUGCCGAGGGCGGCGUGGGCGAACGCCGUGCUCCUGGCCGUGAUGGUCACCGCCGGGCUGGCGUGCGCGGUGACGAUCUGGGCGGUGGCGGUGCGCGUGCGGCGGCGGGAGGUGCGGGAGGCGCGGAUGCUGAGCAGCCUGCAGGACGGGACGCGGACGGCGACGACGUGGAAGCUGGGCAAGGCGGAGAAGGAGGCGCUGAGCAUCAACGUGGCCACCUUCCAGCGGCAGCUCCGGAAGAUCACCUUCACGCAGCUGAUCGAGGCCACCAACGGCUUCUCGGCCGCCAGCCUGAUCGGCUCCGGCGGGUUCGGGGAGGUGUUCAAGGCGACGCUCAAGGACGGCUCCACCGUGGCCAUCAAGAAGCUGAUCCCGCUGAGCCACCAGGGCGACCGCGAGUUCAUGGCGGAGAUGGAGACGCUGGGCAAGAUCAAGCACCGGAACCUCGUGCCCCUGCUGGGCUACUGCAAGAUCGGCGAGGAGCGGCUGCUGGUGUACGAGUACAUGACCCACGGCAGCCUGGAGGACAUGCUCCACCUCCCGGCCGACGGCGCGCCGGCGCUGACGUGGGAGAGGAGGAAGACGGUGGCGCGCGGGGCGGCCAAGGGGCUCUGCUUCCUGCACCACAACUGCAUCCCGCACAUCAUCCACCGCGACAUGAAGUCCAGCAACGUGCUCCUCGACGGCAUGAUGGAGGCCCGCGUCGCCGACUUCGGCAUGGCCAGGCUCAUCAGCGCGCUGGACACGCACCUCAGCGUCAGCACCCUCGCCGGGACCCCCGGGUACGUGCCGCCGGAGUACUACCAGAGCUUCCGCUGCACCGCCAAGGGCGACGUCUACUCCCUCGGCGUGGUGCUGCUGGAGCUGCUCACCGGGCGGCGGCCCACCGACAAGGAGGACUUCGGCGACACCAACCUCGUCGGCUGGGUCAAGAUGAAGGUCAGGGAGGGCGCCGGGAAGGAGGUCGUGGACCCGGAGCUCGUCGCGGCCGCGGCCGGCGACGAGGAGACGGAGAUGAUGAGGUUCCUGGAGAUGGCGCUGCAGUGCGUGGACGACUUCCCGUCGAAGCGGCCCAACAUGCUGCACGUGGUCGCCGUGCUCAGAGAGAUCGACGCGCCGUCGUCGCAGCCUCCAUUACCGGCGGCAGGUGCGUGCAAUGGUCAUGGCCAGGACGCGUAG
rnacentral:rRNA from 1 species